GUACUGCUGAGGAGUCCCACAAUAGGAUGAAAUAAUCGUCCAGUAC
rnacentral:hammerhead_ribozyme from 1 species